rnacentral:misc_RNA from 1 species
GAUGAAGAACGUAGCGAAAUGCGAGAAGUAGUGUGAAUUGCAGAAUUCAGUGAAUCAUCGAAUCUUUGAACGCACAUUGCGCCCCUUGGUAUUCCAUGGGGCAUGCCUGUUCGAGCGUCAUUUGUACCUUCAAGCUCUGCUUGGUGUUGGGUGUUUGUCUCGCCUCUGCGUGUAGACUCGCCUCAAAACAAUUGGCAGCCGGCGUAUUGAUUUCGGAGCGCAGUACAUCUCGCGCUUUGCACUCAUAACGACGACGUCCAAAAGUACAUUUUUACACUCUUGACCUCGGAUCAGGUAGGGAUACCCGCUGAACUUAAGCAUAUCAAUAAGCGGAGGA